rnacentral:rRNA from 1 species
CCUACGGGAGGCAGCAGUGGGGAAUUUUCCGCAAUGGGCGCAAGCCUGACGGAGCAACGCCGCGUGAGGGAUGGAGGCCUCUGGGCUGUAAACCUCUUUUCUCAAGGAAGAAGACCUGACGGUACUUGAGGAAUAAGCCACGGCUAAUUCCGUGCCAGCAGACCGCGGUAAUACGGGAGUGGCAAGCGUUAUCCGGAAUUAUUGGGCGUAAAGCGUCCGCAGGCGGCCUAUUAAGUCUGUCGUUAAAGCGUGGAGCUCAACUCCAUUUAAGCGAUGGAAACUGGAAGGCUAGAGUGUGGUAGGGGCAGAGGGAAUUCCCGGUGUAGCGGUGAAAUGCGUAGAUAUCGGGAAGAACACCAGUGGCGAAGGCGCUCUGCUGGGCCAUAACUGACGCUCAUGGACGAAAGCCAGGGGAGCGAAAGGGAUUAGAUACCCCUGUAGUCCUGGCCGUAAACGAUGAACACUAGGUGUCGGGGGAAUCGACCCCUCGGUGUCGUAGCUAACGCGUUAAGUGUUCCGCCUGGGGAGUACGCACGCAAGUGUGAAACUUAAAUGAAUUGACGG